UACGGAGGGUGCAAGCGUUGUCCGGAAUCACUGGGCGUAAAGGGUGCGUAGGCGGGUCUUUAAGUCAGGGGUGAAAUCCUGGAGCUCAACUCCAGAACUGCCUUUGAUACUGAGGAUCUUGAGUUCGGGAGAGGUGAGUGGAACUGCGAGUGUAGAGGUGAAAUUCGUAGAUAUUCGCAAGAACACCAGUGGCGAAGGCGGCUCACUGGCCCGAUACUGACGCUGAGGCACGAAAGCGUGGGGAGCAAACAGG
rnacentral:rRNA from 1 species